rnacentral:rRNA from 1 species
UACAGAGGGUGCAAGCGUUAAUCGGAAUUACUGGGCGUAAAGCGUGCGUAGACGGUUAUGUAAGUCAGAUGUGAAAGCCCCGGGCUCAACCUGGGAAUUGCAUUUGAGACUGUGUAGCUAGGGUGCGGAAGAGGGAAGCGGAAUUUCCGGUGUAGCGGUGAAAUGCGUAGAUAUUCGGAAGAACACCAGUGGCGAAGGCGACUUACUGGACGAUUGUUGACGCUGAGGUGCGAAAGCGUGGGGAGCAAACAGG